CUACGGGACGCUGCAGUGGGGAAUAUUGGACAAUGGGCGAAAGCCUGAUCCAGCAAUGCCGCGUGAGUGAUGAAGGCCUUAGGGUUGUAAAGCUCUUUUACCCGGGAAGAUAAUGACUGUACCGGGAGAAUAAGCCCCGGCUAACUCCGUGCCAGCAGCCGCGGUAAUACGGAGGGGGCUAGCGUUGUUCGGAAUUACUGGGCGUAAAGCGCACGUAGGCGGCUUUGUAAGUCAGAGGUGAAAGCCUGGGGCUCAACCCCAGAACUGCCUUUGAGACUGCAUCGCUUGAGCACGGGAGAGGUGAGUGGAAUUCCGAGUGUAGAGGUGAAAUUCGUAGAUAUUCGGAAGAACACCAGUGGCGAAGGCGGCUCACUGGACCGUUGUUGACGCUGAGGUGCGAAAGCGUGGGGAGCAAACAGGAUUAGAUACCCCGGUAGUC
rnacentral:rRNA from 1 species